rnacentral:misc_RNA from 1 species
GUUAGCAAAUUGGUGAAAGGAAGACCUCUUGACAACCUGGAGUUUAUGCAAUGGUUGAAGAGAUACUGCGAUUCUGUUAAUGGGGGCAAUCUUCACAGUUACAAUCCUCUUGAAAGAAGGGAGGGGUGCAAGGGUGCCAAAGAAGUGAACAAAAGAUCUGCUCCUUCACAAAAUGCUACCAAAAAUGCCUCGACUGCUUCAAAGCAUGUCUCCCAUAACACUAGAAGAAAUGAAGUACCUCAUGUAAGCAGCACAAAUCAAUCUGGUAAGAUCUCGAGGCCUUCUUCAAGUGGAGGAUCGUCAACCUAUUCUGAAACUGAACGUACUGCACAU